GCUCAAUGCUGUGGCUCCAGGCAAACACUUCUCAGACAAACCAGAAAGGCACUAUCUGGCUUUUAAUAUUGAUCACUUCUCACACAUUCACUCACACACAUCACAUGUCAGAGAAAUCAAUGAACAGACAAAUUUACGCUGGCUGUGCACCAAGUAUUUCUCGUAGUAUUUGUGUUUUUUAGUUUGUGUGAGUGUAUAUGCAUGGCUUAGAAAAGAGGAGAGAGUUGAAAAGUUGAAGCCAGAAAGUUCUGUGAAGAUUUUUAACAAACGAUUGUGUGGUGGUGCUGGUGGGGGGGAUAUAUAGAGGGGAGGCAUAAAGGAGGCGUUGUCGGUAGGAGAAGAGAGGAGGGGAUUAGGGUUGGCGGUUCGCUGUCGAACCAGCAUCGAUACAACGGCAGCAUUUGCCUAAUCCCCUGGUAAUGGCAGCUUAGCAGCCUCCUCGGACACACAAACACUCCCACUACCUCCUCCUCCGCUCUGCUCCUCUCUUCUCCUUUCCUGCCCUCUUCCCUCCUCAUUUACAUAACAUUAGAAACAUUAAGGCGGCUCCAACAAGGCCCCAUUAUGUGCGUGUUGGUUUUGGGUCCCAUUGCGUCGGCCCCAAAGCUUUGGAAAGGAGAAGAGCAGAAUGAGUCAGGACAUCACAGAGGCUUGUCCAGUGUUUUGUCUGCUGGAGAUGGUUUGUGUGCCUCUAAAGGACUUAUUGAAAAGAGAGGGAGAGAGAAAGGGAGAAAGUGAUUUUGUUUCUGAGAGAACAGAGCUAGUGAUCUGAUUGCAGAUGUGAGACCAAAACAGCAGCUCCAACAUCCUGAAGAUGGGAAAUUAACUUCAGAUAGGUGUUGUCUGUUUUUCUGAUAAUUAAUGAGGCUGGAGUUACAUCAAAAGCACCAUGACAAUGAUGUUUCAUGGACGGUUCUUGGCACCAGAGUUGUUUUUCAGAGCUGAAGUUCAGACAUCCUCAAGGUGACAGAACUGAUAAACAGAACUGAGCUGUUCACCUAACAAAGCCGCUGUUUACUCAGUCUGCCACACAUGCACAUCUUUCUUACCAUGGAACUUCAAUUUACAAUUAAAGACAGUAGCUUUUAAACCAUAACAUUCUAGCUUCAAGUUUGAUAAUAAUAAAUGUGGUGAUAUAUUCGGCAAAAGUGGUGCAAAAUAGCUGUCUUUGAAAUUAGAAAGAGAUCAUAAAGCGAAUUGAUGAAUUCAAUUGAAUUCAACUUGCUGUGAUAAAAAAACAGACCUAAAAAAUUAGUUUUCAUGAUUGGAAAAACCGAAAUCCCAUCAAAAAUCCUAUUAUUUAUACAAAAUAAUAAUUGCAACAUUAUGCCAAUAAGACUGAAUACUAGAUAAUACUGUAUGUCACCAUACUAGAGCUAUAUCUGGAAAGGAAUAAAGGAACAACAUGUGAAAAAAAAACAUUCUAGAAUAAAUAAUUUUAUAAUCUACUCUUUACUAUAUUUUCAGUACCAAAUGAUGGAGGCCUUACAUAGAACCAUUUGUGGCCCUCUGUGUCCAGGAGGUAAUUGCCAACAUUUUUUAUAUUAAAAAGGGCUAAAUCUCCAGGUUAAACUUGGGGCAGAAAGAAGUCUUUCAGUAAAGUUGAUAUCUUCACAUCAUGUUACAGCAAUAACACUUUCAGAACUAUACCGUAGAUAACAGAAAUAGAUGGCUCUAACAUUAUGUGCAACAGUGUCUUUUAGUUCCCUAUUCGGCCUGUAUACAGGUUUUAAUGCACAACCCUAACUCUAAGCCUAAUAUCAGCCAUUUAGAUCAUCUUACAAUUAUACAAAUUAUACACAAUCUAUCAUGGUUAUUAAUGAGUGAGAAAAGACAUAAUUCAUUCUGUCUACCUAAUAGUGAAAAAAACAUAAAAUAUCUUACAAAUAAGCUGUGAUAGUAAAUUUAGCCUGUCAAAAUUUGCUUUUUACUCUCAAUUGAAUGAAUCUCAAUUCAUCUCAAUUUGCUAUGGUCAUUUAAAAAAUCCUUUUUUUAAAUUGAUGUAAUGUUAUUAAUUAAUGCUAUUACCUAAUAACUGGAACAUAAUAACAUUUAAAUUGUGUCUUAGAUUUAAAAGGCAAUGAACCAUAACACAAACAAACAAAUAACUGCAGUGUCACAGUACUUACUGAAAUGGUACCAAGGACCUCACAUAUAUUUACAAAAGUGAAAAAACACAGCACACAAUUAUUAAACUACACAACCACAAACCAGCAGAUAGAGAAUAGCAACAGUGCUCGAUGUUUCUCUGCUGUUUUUUUUUGUAUAACUUUCCCUUCUUCCUCGCUUUCAUUUAGUCCCAUAAAGCAGAGUUUUCAGUUGGCUUCAAAGCUCUUUGCAGAUCUCAGUUGGGGGCCUUCAAAGCCCCCUGUCUGUCGGCAGGUUUAGGCACAGAGAAAGCUUCUUGUUCUUUAAGGAUUUGGCUUACAAAUAACGCCCAGCCAGGGCCAAGGCAACUAGCUUGCACCCUGACAGGAUAGUAGACAGACUUCUGCAUUUUAGUGAUGUGUUUUGGGGGCUAUUCCUGCAUCUAUCUGAAAGUGAAGGCUUGGCCCUCUGCAGGCCUCCAUCAUACAAAGUGCUAGCAUUGGCCUCAAACAGGUGUAAAUACUCGACCAGUGAACCACUCCUGCUGCCAUGGUGCAACAUGAAUCCAGCUGGAAGAACAAGUGCUGCGUGGGCUCCCUAAAGUGCUGCUACACUGGGUCAUUGGAGAGCCACAACGUGUUUGGGAACAGAGCAGUCUGUGUUAUUUCAGCACAGCCUGAAAUAACACAGAUGGAUGAAGGGCCAUUUCACAGGCAUUAUGGAUUAAUCUUUGGCAGCAUCCCUUCUGGAUCAAACAAAAUUGGAUGUUUAACCUCACGAGCUGAGAGGUCUCUUGUGAUAAACCAGGAUUGAGAGGAUUGAAUGUGACCCGCAUUGGGUUAAACAUCACAUACUUGUAAAUGUAUUUGAGCUAACUCCUGCUGAAAAGAUGAAAAUCUAGUGUGUACACACCUCCUUCCUUACAGGUGAGUGUAAUCCAAACCCUGAAAAUGAUUUACUUCAUAACAUUCCAGUAAUACAUUACUAUAUACACACAAAUAGAAGACAUUAAUAGGCCUCUGUCAUUCACUUGAUGUCUAACAUAAAAUAAAAAGAUGUUAAAACUUUUGAGGAAGCCAUGCGAUCACAGGUGAAAAAGUGACCUUUUCAAAUGUAUUUAUUACUCCACCUUGCUGUUUAUAUCUACUACACAGCUGCAAUCUACCAUAUCUUCCCUCACUUAUUAUAAACUAAAAAUCACCGCGUUCAGUUUGACAGGAGCACUGAUUGAUGGGUCUAAACAGGCAUGGUGCACUUUUACAUUUUACACGCAGAAGUGCAUGUAACACGUAAAAGAACAAACAAUAAAAAGCAGUAUAGGCCUGGAGAUGUGAUGUGGAUAUAAUACAUUCCUUGUAAACACCAAUAAAAUGGACCAUGCAAUAGGAAUGAAA